AGGGUUUGAUUAUGGCUCAGGACGAACGCUGGCGGCGUGCCUAACACAUGCAAGUCGAACGGAGAUACGGUUUUUUUAAAUUGUAUCUCAGUGGCGAACGGGUGAGUAACGCGUGGGCAACCUGCCCUGUACAGAGGAAUAACCUGGGGAAACUCAGGCUAAUACCGCAUAAGACAUAUGUAUCGCAUGAUGGGUAUGUUAAAACUCCGGUGGUACAGGAUGGGCCCGCGUCCCAUUACCUGGUUGGUAAGGUAAAGGCUUACCAAGGCAACGCAUAGCGCUAGCCAGACCUGCAGAGGGUGUAACGGCCUACACUGGGAAUGAGACACGACCCAGACCUCUACGGGAGGCAGCAUGUGGGGAAUAUUGCGCAAUGGAAGAAACUCUGACGCAGCGACGCCGCGUGAGCGCAAGAAGGCUUUCGAGGGCGGAAGCGUCUGUUUCUUGGGGACGAAGAAGUGACGGUAGCCCAAGGAGAAAGCACCGUGCCUAACUUACGUGCCUAGCAGCCGCGGUAACAUCGUAGGGGGGCUAGCGUUGUCCGGAAAUACUGGGCGUAAAGGGGCGUGUAGGCCGCCCAUGUAAGUCAGGUGUGAAAGACCACGGCUUAACUGUGGUAUAGCACUUGAAACUAUACGGCUUUGAGUACAGGAGAGGGAAACGGGGAUUCCUGGUGUAGCGGUGAAAUGCGUAGAUAUCAGGAGGAACACCAGUGGCGAAGGCGGUUUCCUGGACUGUAACUGACGCUGAGGCGCCAAAGCGUGGGUAGCGAACAAGAUUAGAUACCCUGGUAGUCCACCCUGGAAACGAUGGAUACUAGGUGUGGGUAGUUCAGACUAUCCGUGCCGCAGCUAACGCAUUAAGUAUCCCGCCUGGGGAGUACGGCCGCAAGGUUGAAACUCAAAGGAAUUGACGUGGGCCCGCACAAGCAGCGGAGCAUGUGGUUUAAUUCGAAGCAACGCGAAGAACCUUACCAGGACUUGACAUCCCCUGUAAGGCUUAGAGAUAGGCUUUUCCCUUUUGGGACAGGGAGACAGGUGGUGCAUGGUUGUCGUCAGCUCGUGUCGUGAGAUGUUGGGUUAAGUCCCGCAACGAGCGCAACCCUUAUGGCUAGUUGCCAGCAUUUAGGAUGGGCACUCUAGCGAGACUGCCGGGGACAACUCGGAGGAAGGUGGGGAUGAGGUCAAAUCAUCAUGCCCCUUAUGUCCUGGGCUACACACGUGCUACAAUGGCCGGUACAGAGGGAAGCGAUGGAGCAAUCCGGAGCCAAUCCCAAAAAGCCGGUCUCAGUUCGGAUUGUGGGCUGCAACUCGCCCACACGAAGUAGGAGUUGCUAGUAAUCGCGGAUCAGCAAUGCCGCGGUGAAUACGUUCCCGGGCCUUGUACACACCGCCCGUCACACCGCGGAAGUUGGGGGCACCCGAAGCCGGUUUAACACCGUCUAAGGUGAAAUCAAUGACUGGGGGGAAGUCGUAACAAGGUAACC
rnacentral:rRNA from 1 species